UUAGCAGUCAUUUAACUGAGCGCCU
rnacentral:miRNA from 1 species